CCAGCAGCUGCGGUAAUUCCAGCUCCAAUAGCGUAUAUUAAAGUUGUUGCAGUUAAAAAGCUCGUAGUUGGAUUUCUGGUAGGAUGACUGUGCCCUCAGCAGAGCGUGCGCAGGCGUCUUGCCAUCCUUCUGUUAACCUUUGAGAGCUUCAUCGCUCUCUUUGGGGCUCAGAUAUUUUACCUUGAGAAAAUUAGAGUGUUUAAAGCAGGCUUACGCUUGAAUACAUUAGCAUGGAAUAAUGGAAUAGGACUUUGGUUCUAUUUUGUUGGUUUCUAGGACCAAAGUAAUGAUGAAUAGGGAUAGUUGGGGGCAUUAGUAUUGAGCUGUCAGAGGUGAAAUUCUUGGAUUUGCUCAAGACUAACAACUGCGAAAGCAUUUGCCAAGGAUGUUUUCAUUGAUCAAGAACGAACGU
rnacentral:rRNA from 1 species